UACUAAAGACUAGAAGCCAGAAUGGUGGCACUUGUGUUAACACUCUGGGCUCAUAUAAUUGUCGCUGUCCACAUGAUUGGUUUGGUCCCACGUGUUCAGAGCAGCACGACGAUUGCAGGGGGAGCAACGCUUUAAGAUGUGGAAAAGGAACAUGUGUGGAUUUACAGAGAAACCAAUCAGGGCAGCCUCACUAUCAAUGUGUGUGCUACCCGGGCUAUACACUGGAUACAUCCUGGCAGCCACGCUGUGUGGAUAUCGAUGAAUGCCAUCCAUUGUCUGGACAGAGGUAUCCAUGCUCCACCGUCCCCCACGUGGUCUGUGUGAACACUCCGGGUCAUUUCCGGUGUGAGGCUUGUCC
rnacentral:sRNA from 1 species